ACGUAGGUGGCAAGCGUUGUCCGGAUUUACUGGGCGUAAAGAGCGCGCAGGCGGCUGGUCAAGUCCGAUGUGAAAUCUCCCGGCUCAACUGGGAAACUGCAUCGGAAACUGACCGGCUUGAAGGUGGGAGAGGGUAGUGGAAUUCCCGGUGUAGUGGUGAAAUGCGUAGAUAUCGGGAGGAACACCAGUGGCGAAGGCGACUCUUUGGUCUGUAACUGACGCUGAGGCGCGAAAGCGUGGGGAGCAAACAGGA
rnacentral:rRNA from 1 species